AUGCUUACUUUGGCAGCACAUAUACUAAAACUGGAAGGAUACAGAGAAGAUUAGCAUGGCCCCUGUGCAAAAUAACAAGCAAAUUCAUGAAGCAUUCCAUAUUUUU
ensembl:snRNA U6 U6 spliceosomal RNA